UAAAGAAGCAACCUGCUCCAGAGGGGCAGCGGCAAGUCUACUGAGCCAGGGAACUUACCUCGGAGGCUUGACUUCGCAGCCUGAAGUGAAGGACAUCCCAAAUCAAAGGACACGUGCUUGGACGGGAAGUCUGUGCCAGGGGAGGCCAGCCUAGGCUCUCCUCCAAAGCUGGAAUUCCAAGACUUCACACAGACCAACAAGAGCUCUGAGGCGUUGAUCCCAAAGGCUCUCUCUAAUAAAUUUCCUGAAUGUUAAUCUUGCUCUCAGAAUCUGCUUCCCAGAGUAUCCAAGCUUUGGCACAAGCAAAUUGGAUCCUUGAGGUUUUUACUUUACAAAUCAAAUGCCUGAGGAUGUGUAAGAGGAUGGUCAUGGAUUUGCAACAACCGCUUUCUGCAUUCCUGCCCUCUGUAACCGUGUUCCUGGGGAAAGACCAGGAAUUCCAUCCAUAA
rnacentral:lncRNA from 1 species